rnacentral:rRNA from 1 species
AACGAACGCUGGCGGCGUGCCUAACACAUGCAAGUCGAGCGGGAAAGUCCGCAAGGAUGAGUACAGCGGCGCACGGGUGCGUAACACGUGGGUAAUCUGCCCUGAAGCUCGGGAUAACUCGCCGAAAGGCGUGCUAAUACCGGAUAAGACCACGGGAGCCUCGGCUCCUGAGGGAAAAGGUGGCCUCUGCAUGCAAGCCAUCCCUUCAGGAUGAGUCCGGGGCCCAUCAGCUCGUUGGCGGGGUAACGGCCCACCAAGGCUACGACGGGUAGCUGGUCUGAGAGGACGAUCAGCCACACUGGAACUGAGACACGGUCCAGACUCCUACGGGAGGCAGCAGUGGGGAAUCUUGCGCAAUGGGCGAGAGCCUGACGCAGCAACGCCGCGUGUGUGAUGAAGGUCUUCGGAUCGUAAAGCACUGUCGGGAGGGACGAAUAAGGGCCGGGUGAACAAUCCGGUUCGAUGACGGUACCUCCAAAGGAAGCACCGGCUAACUUCGUGCCAGCCGCCGCGGUAAGAC